AGAUGACAAUGGUGACCAGAACUCUAGAGGACAAGCUGGUGCUUUGGCAAAUCUGUAGAAGAACAGUCACCUGACCAGAAGUCACAGAAGAUGAAUGAAGAUGUGGCUCAGCCAAGCAACCAGAGUACAUGGGCAGCUGUUCUUAAAGAGUCAGCAGCAGUCGAAUACCAUGAGCCGUUUACCACCAUUAUGCAUAAAGAAGAUAUUUGAUGGAGUCAAAGAUUACUCACCGGUACCAAAAAAAAACAUUUCUAUGUUUCUCUGAAAAUUUUGAAAGUAUCUUGUCAACAUCGACUUCUAACAACAUUACUUGUUUUGCGCUCCAGUGAAUGUAUGCCUGGGAGACGCAUCCUACUUCAUCUAUCUUAUUAAUUGUUUUUUCUCGUGUCAGGUCUGGUUUUGAUAAUUGUUUUAUUAAACUUAUUGAAAUUGCUGCUGGCACCAGAAUAUUUUCACUUUACAGAGUAGGGUUUAAUUUUAACUAUUUCAACACACAAUGACUAUAAUAAAUCCUAAUAUUGCAUUUUGUAUUAUUCUCUAUAUUUUUGUUGUUUUUUUUUUUUAUCUGAAAAACUAUGCUGAAAUAUCGUCAUUAUUGGUACCGCCAUUACAAGAACUCUAAGACCAUACGACAGCCACCGCCAUCAAAAAACAAUAUAAUUCAUGGACUAGCAGGAAGCACAGUCUUAUAGGAGUACUCCGCCCCUAGACAUCUUAUCCUCUAUCCAAAGGAUAGGGGAUAAGAUGUCUGAUUGCGGGGAUCCCACUGCUGAGGACCCCCGCAAUCUCCCUGCUGCACCCGCCAUUCGUUUAGA